rnacentral:rRNA from 1 species
AACGAACGCUGGCGGCAUGCCUAACACAUGCAAGUCGAACGAGACCUCCGGGCUUUGUGGCGCACGGGGGCGUAACGCGUGGGGAGCUGCACUUGGGUUCGGAAUACCUCCCCGAAAGGGGUGCUAAUACAGGAUAAUGUCUUCGGACCAAAGAUUUAUCGCCGUUGGCUGGGCCCGGGUUGGAUUAGGUGGUUGGUAGGGGAAAAGCCUACUAAGGGCAGGAUCCAUAGCUGGUGUGAGAGCAUGCUCAUCAACACUUGGACUGAGACACAGCCCAGACUCCUACGCAAGGGAGCAGUGGGUAAUAUUGGACAAUGGGCGAAAGCCUGAUCCAGCAAUGCCGGGGAAGUGGGGAAGGCCUUAGGGUUGUAAAGCUCUUUUACCCGGGAUGAUAAUGACGGUACCGGGAGAAUAAGCUCCGGCUAACUCCGUG